GACAGAGGGUGCAAACGUUGUUCGGAAUUACUGGGCGUAAAGCGCGUGUAGGCGGCCAUCUAAGUCGGGCGUGAAAUCCCACGGCUCAACCGUGGAAGUGCACUCGAAACUGGAUGGCUAGAGUCCUGGAGAGGAAGGUGGAAUGCUUGGUGUAGAGGUGAAAUUCGUAGAUAUCAAGCGGAACACCGGUGGCGAAGGCGGCCUUCUGGACAGUGACUGACGCUGAGACGCGAAAGCGUGGGGAGCAAACAGG
rnacentral:rRNA from 2 species